rnacentral:rRNA from 1 species
AACGAACGCUGGCGGCGUGGAUUAGGCAUGCAAGUCGAACGGAACUUCUAGCUUUUUCGGAAGUUUAGUGGCGAAAGGGUGAGUAACACGUGACUAACCUGCCCUUGGGCUCGGGAUAACUUGCCGAAAGGCGAGCUAAUACCGGAUACGUUCUUGUUUCUUAACUGGGACAAGAGCAAAGAUGGGGACUUCUUCGGAAGCCUGUCACCUUUGGAUGGGGUCGCGGCCUAUCAGCUAGUUGGUGAGGUAAUGGCUCACCAAGGCUAAGACGGGUAGCUGGUCUGAGAGGAUGGUCAGCCACACUGGGACUGAGACACUGCCCAGACACCUACGGGUGGCUGCAGUCGAGAAUCUUUCGCAAUGGGGGAAACCCUGACGAAGCGACGCCGCGUGUAGGAUGAAGGCCUCGGUUGUAACGUACUAGUCAGCUGG